GGAAAUGUGAAGAAUGCCAAAGAAAUGGAAAAAUGAGGACAGAAAAGAAUACUACUACCUGGUUUCUGUGCCCAUAGGUCAAGCUGGAAAACAUUUUUCCAUAAAACCACGUGCAAUUUUAUGACACAGGUGAAAGAAUAGCCCAAAUCCACAAGUUUGGCUUUUUAUCCCAGUAUGUUGGAUGAUUUCCACAAAAAUCUUUCAAAAAGAUGAUUGAUGUUGAUGUCUUUAAUGCAACAACAUGGAGACAUCAAGUGGAGUUACAGCUACUUGUGA
rnacentral:lncRNA from 1 species